AUGCCAUGCUCUUGCGACCCCGCGGGCGACUCAGCCGCCGCGUCUCCGCCUCCGGCGCUUCCGGCCCCGGCAUGCCCCGCCCUUGACGCCCCGGCCCCGGCGUGCCCUUCCCCCUCCGUGCUCGGUGCAGCCUCGCCGUCGGGAUCCCCCUCCCCCGGAUCCCCGGGUGUCUCGCUGGGGCCGGCCUUCCGCUGGGCGGACCUGGCGGAGGACGACGAUGUUGCCGUGGGCCGGCCCGUUGUUCACAGGGAGCCGUCGGCGAGCUCGGUUGUGUCCAGCAGGGAGGUUGGGAGGUCGCCUCGUCGUGACUACCUGACCACCUCGCGGCCUCGCCGGCGUGCUGUGGCAGUCCCUCCGCCGACGCCGCGCCAAGGUGCCACCUUUGGGUCGGAGAACGCUCGCCGCCACCGCGCUUCGGCAUGGGGCGUCGCGGGGCGGAACGAUCAAGGCUGGGCCCGCCAUUUGUGGCGCGCCGCCGUCCCUGCCGCUGGGGUUCUCGGUCCCCGGCCGUCGCCUUUGCUCCCCGCUCCCGCACCGUCGUGGCCACCGGCGACGCUCCGUCAUUCCCCGUUUCGGCCAUUCAUUGCUGCUUUUGGGUCUUCCGCGUUCCGCUUGUCCCCCAACGCUCCCUCACGGCGGUCAUGGCUCGCUGUGGCGUCUUCUUCGGCGACGGCACCAGCCGCGACGGUGGCAACGGCGGCAGGGGAAACCCUACCUGCCGCUUCCCCGUCCCGCUGGCUGAGCCAUGAUCCGAUGGGCCGCGCGCGGUUGGGCCUGGUCCUCCUGGGCCGGUCUCCUGUGGGCCGUUGGGAUCUCUCAGGGGCAUGGCCUUUCCGCGAAGGCCUCCUGUUGGGCCGGCCCGAUCGGUCGCUCGGUCCAUAUGGUUACCCGCAGGCCUCCUCCAGCGCGCUUGGGCCCCCCACCCCGACAGAAACCCUCGUACUCUCCUCCACCCCCACCGCCAACCCCUCCGGCCCCCUGCCUGCGCCUCUGCCCUGGACCCCCAUGCCGCGGAAGUGGGACGACGCUGGGUCGCGGCCCAAGCGUCGCAUGCUCGACCGGCGUGAGCAUGCCCGCCCCUCCCCGGAUGCGGCCCGGCGCGCGGUAGAUCUUCGCCGGGAGCUCUCUUCCCGUGACAGUAGGCGGUCUCCGCCGCACGAUGACUGUCGCUCCCCUCCUCGGGACGCUCGCCACUCUCCGCCCCACCGUCGGUCGCCUGGACGCGAGGAUUGUUGGGGUCGCUCAUGA
rnacentral:rRNA from 1 species